AAAUAGGAUGCAGCUCUUUGCACUGAGAGCAUGUGGUCUUUGGGAAAUCAAGUUCUCCAUUAGAAUACUAGUACUGGAAUAAUUCAGCUCCCUGGAAAGUGAAAAUGGGAGGAAGCAUCAACCCUGUGAGGCAUUUCCAUGGGGAAUUGAGGGCUGCAUUAAAGAUAUUUGGAGACAAAACAUCCUUGCUGUGAUCAUCCGUGCACUGUGGGUCGUCUGGAUGUGGUCCUCAGUGAUUUGCCAUCCCACAGUCAGAAAAUUCACUUCCUAACACUGUGAUAAAGGGGGAAAAGAAAACCCAACUCAGGAUUUGGUGUCUGCAGCAAAGAGCCCUCCAGAUUCAAGUAUUUCCUUCUACUGGAGCUAUUUGCUUGCUGCUGAAUAUAAUUUUGUUAACUGCCACAAACCAGCAAGAAAACUGUUUUCUUUCUACGUGAUAAAGAGCAACCUAUAAAAAGACUGAAAUUGAAGUGAAACAUUUUGCUUGAGUGAAGAGGAGGAAGUUUUCAUUGGCCUGAUGGAAAACUUGCAUUUUUAUUUGUGGCCUUUCCAGCUUCCAUUGGCCCAUCACUGCCCAGUGAGGACUCUGGUUUCCAUUUGUCCAGCUGGGCAUUAGCAGAAGCAAAGAAGAUAAGAAGCAAAGAAGAGAUUUAGCUGGAGGGAAGCUAUUACAUAUAAAGAGAUGAAGGAAAAAAAAAAAGAGAGAGAGAAAGGAAAAAGAAAAUCUAAUAAUGCUCUAGCAAACUUCCUGGGGGAAUGGAAAGAAGGGAAAUAGACUUUCAAAGAACAGAUGUGACUUGCAAGGCAAGCACUUGCACAGAUCUGCUUCCAUUUAGCAAGCAGUUGGUGUUGUUUCUGAUAUUCCUAUCUUCCAGCUGUCUGUAACCACGCCACCACCAGGCCAGGGGCCAGCAGGAUGGAGUGUGCCCAGCGUUCUUCAUUGCCCUCAACGUAAAAUCUGAGUGCUCUGCAUUAGCAGCAGUAGUUUGGACCUAUCCCUUCAACUCUGCCCACCUCAGGACGGCCAUUGUGUUCCUAUGAUGCAGCCCUGGGAGGUAUAACACUGAAUGAUAGAAGUCAAGUUGAAAGAGAUCUUAAACCUGUGUUGCCACCCAGGAUAUCAGGUAGCCAUCGGUUACCCUUCCUUUGUCCACCAAUGCUAUCAUCUCCCAAAGUGGCCCCGGGUGAAGAGCUGGAAGGAGCUGAAGCUGGCCUCUUCCAUUGCUCUCACGAUGAGCCCACAACAUCCCAGGCUCUGACCAUGGGACUUCUGCACAGUGAUCCUAUAUUUGCCCAGCAGUUGCUGAGCUCUGACCUCGGCUGUGAUGUACCAUGUAGUGCCAGGACCCCAGGAUGCUACCAAGCAUUGGAUUCAUAGCUUCAAAGCCACACAGAUGGUGAGAGAUAACGUACAAGCAAUAAUGGAUAGCUUUGUGUCUCCAAUCAGUAUUUAUUUCCUUUUCUUCUUCCCUAAAUUGUGAGUUCCUGAAAGUGUUGUCAUGACUACUGAAGAGUGAACUUGACUCGCUUCGGCAGCCUUUGUUCCCUCCAAGUGAGCUGAUCUAAAAUUUGUCAAAACUCUCUUGUCACUGGCUGCAAAAAUAUUGUAUCUAUUUCUUCAGAGGAGCUUCUUUUGCAAGUCUCUUUUAGCUGCACAUAAAGGGCACGGCGAGAGUCCAAGCCUGCCAUAAUGCAGUGAUUUUAAUGCCCCUGGGUGCUCUCAGUUAAUAAGUCUUGGAUUGUUCCCUCGUUUCCAGCAAUCUUUCUGUCACACAUCAAAAGGUCAGUCUUCCGUGAGGUAUUCUGUAAUCUCUCUGCUCAGAUGUGUUACAAUAUAUUCUGAUCAAUGGCUAAAAGUCGUGUAUUUUUCUUUUAAUGGAACAUCCACUGGAGAAUAAAUUCUAAGGGGGGCU